GUUGAAACACUGAUUCCCUUUACGAUCACCGAAGUUAAGCAACGUCGAUACUGAUUAGUACAUAGAUGGGUGACCACUGGGGAUUACCAGCUG